UUUAGACACAGGCCUGGCUGACUACCAGAUGGGCUCUGUGUAGCUGCAUCAGGGCAGUGACCAGUGCCAAAGACACACACACAUACGGAUAUGAGUUAGGGCCUUUUUGUUGGUUUUGAGACUUCUCUGUGUAGCUCUAGCUGUCCUGGGACUUGCUCUGUAGACCAGGCUGGUCUCAAACUCACAGAGAUCCUCCUGCCUCUGCUGGCUUGAGGUAGUCUUAUGUAGCCCAAGCUGGACCUCAAACUUACAAUGUAGUUUGAACUCCACACCUUCCUGUCUUAACCUCCUGAGUGCUGGGAUCACAGGUAUGCCCACCAAACCUAUUUUUAUGUGGUAUUGGGGAACAGACCUAGGGCUUCAUGCUCUCUAGGUAAGCACUAUACUGGCUAAGCAACCUCUCCAACCCAUUCUAGACUUCAUUAACAAAAUACAAGUUCAGAACUUGGAUUAAUGGUUUGUAGACAGUAACCACAGAGCUUGACCUUUGAAGUGGUUUUGCAAAUGUCUUGUUUCUGGCAGAAAAACCAAGAAAAGGCUGAAGAGAGGUGCCAAGAGAGCCAUGAGCCUGGUGACCUCAUGUGCCCAAGGUACGCUCAGCUGAAACACCUGUGGACCUUCUUAUUUCCCUACCAAGAGGCUGGCUUUCCAUGCCUGGCCAGCACCAGACCAAAAUGGGUCACAGAGGAAGUGCCCAGCCUGACUCAGCCACCCCAUACAUUUCUUUUUUCUUUUUUUCUUAGAGACUUGUCUGCACAUCCAGCCUAAGCUAGCCAGAAACUCAUGAUCCUCCUGCCUCAGCCUCCUGAUUGCUGGGGUUUAUAUGCCUGACUGUGGGUUCUUUCUUGACUUGAGGAAUUUUAGAGCUGUCCAUCACCUCUGUCAGAUGUCACUGAGAGUCCACUUGCACAGCUCUGCUUGUCCUCAGGUCAUGUGCAUCACAUCUUAGGCCAGGUUUAUUUCUAGAACAAAGGAAAGUUCGUUCCCUUCUCAUUCAGGUUCUACCCAGGCUGACUGAUGUGUUAGUUGAAGGGAAAUGUGUGUAUCUGUGUGUAUCUCUGUGUAACCCUGAAGGGUACUUGGAACUUAAGGGCAAGAGCAGGGCAGUGAGUAUUCAAGAAACAUCAGCUAGUGAUCUUGCAGCACGGAACUGUGAUCCUUGCUACCUGAGAGGCAGAGGCAGGCGGAGUUUGAGGCCAGCCUGGUCUCCAGAGCAAGUUCCAGGACAGCCUCCAGAGCCACAGAGAAAUCCUAUCCCGAAAAAAACCAAAUAAUUUUAUAGGCUGGGAAGACAGCUGAGUGGUAUGCAGACUGUUCUUCCAGAGGACCAGGUUCAAUUAGCAUAACAGUUCAAAACUACAAUUCCAGAGGGUCUGAUAUCCUCUUCUGACUGAAGCCCACACUGUAUACACAUUGCAUGAACAUAUGCUGGCAAAACACACAUACACAUAAAAUAAAAAAUUUAAAGUAUUAAAAAAAAAAUCGUGGCUAUGGAGAAGUCCAGAAAAUGCUUGCCUAUCAUGCUCAAGCUCUGAGCUCCUCCUUCAGCUCGAGCACUCAUCAGGAAAUGCAGGGUUGGGAUGGG
rnacentral:lncRNA from 1 species